rnacentral:misc_RNA from 1 species
UUGUUUAUUCUUUUUUUUUUUUUUAUCAGAAACAGUUAUCACGCUACAUAAAACUUUCAAGGUCACCCUACCUUCAGCUUACUUUCUCGGUCUCGCAAGAAUGCAGUAACCAGAGUGUAAGCAACAAUUACAUGCCUCCAACAACAAACUCCUAUUGCCAAUAGGCAAAACCAUGAUAUAUAUGAUGCCACUAUCAUAGUCUCCCUUUUGAGUGAGGCCUAAUAGCUAUUUCACUCCUAUAUAAAGCUUAUGGUUAUUCCCCUGAGCUUUAUUGCUUUCCUAAAUUAAUCAUUUUCCACUCUUUGUUGAGUAGCACAUUCCCCAGACGAUACAGAGUUGGAUGGUUGGAGAAAAUGAUUUUAGAUUUUGAAAGACUUGCCAGUUAGUCCUAGACUGCCUAGAGUCGACAGGAUAGCAAGAAAGAAAAGGCACUGAUGGAACUGAUUCAACUGUGUUUAUCAAAUAGUGCAUAAAAAAGUUUAUGCCCCCCACAAAACAAAGUGUUCUGCAUGUUUAUGAAAUUAUGAUUGAGAUAGGAGCAAAAUUUUGCUUAC